UCUUUUGCCUGCAUCUUGUAUUUUUUCCAUCUGAGACUGACGUUAUUCCAUCUUAAUUAUUUUUCUCCGUGAAAAACACAGCAGCUCAUCUCAUCCCGGGGCGCCAGCGCCUCGAGCUCCGGGUCUCAGCAGAAAAGUGCCGAUAAACGUUGCAGGCUGAUCCAGGUUCUAGUAUGUGACGUCACAGCUGGAACACUGUUACGCCUCUGCGUAACCAUGGUUACAGGGGACGCUUUGGAGCUCAGCAGCAAAAGAUUUCAGGUUAAACUCUAAAACCAAAUAAAAUCAAUAUACUGUACAUGUGUGUAGUGUAAGCGUUCAUUUUCUGGAAGAGGCUGUAAAACAGAGUUAAAAGGUGACCGAUGGCAGCCGUACUGAGGCUGCAUGGAGACCUUUUGGUUGUUGCCACAGACGCUUUCUCUUACUACGGAUGGAGGAUGUUGCGGUUUUACAACCCAUGGACUGAGAAAGGACUCAAUAAGUAACCUGUUCACAUAUUCCAGGGUUAAACACAAAACAGGAGGCGAGAGCAGAGAACAAGAGUGCAGCAGUUUGGUGGAAGGUGAAGAAGAGGUGAGCAUCCAAAAGACGAGCAAGAGGACAGUUUCAUAGGAGACAUCACGGCACAAUAAAAGCUAGAAACUCACCUGAUGUAGUGGUAAGGCCAUGUUCACCACUAGAUGGAGACAACCUGGCACAGAAAUGGAGACCCGCCACACGAACACACAAGCUCAGCUCUGAAUUCUUUGCCAGCUGCAUAUAUAUUUCUGCACUGCGUCACACCGACACACAGUUUACUUUUUGUCUGGUUUCCUGUAUUUUAUACGCCUGUGCAGCUCUGCACUAAAACCUCCUGUUCUCUGCAGCAGCAUGCAGUUUCCUGUCAGUACUCUGUGACAUUGUGCUCAAACUGGUGUUCUCCCAGUCUGGCCUCAUUAAAACAAAAUAAACAGAAAAUAAGCAUUAAGAAUAUAUAUUUAUUUCGUAACAAUACACAUGGAAACUUCACACAGACAAACACACACACAAAACAACAAAAUGCUCGUCUCAUUUUGAGAAUUUCACCACUUUUACUUUUCAUGGAAAAUAACUUGUUACAUGACAUCAUUUAAAAUAAGUUUGUCAGUGAAUGGCUGCCACAUAAGUAUAAAUCUAAAUCACACAUGUGGGUAGGGCUGCAUAGUCAGUAAAAGUCUCCAAGGCUCUGCAGAGCUCCAAACCUCCUCUGCCACAAACAGAAGCAUCAAAAAUGUGCGCUGGGAGCUUCAUGGAAGGAUUUCUACAGCCAAGCAAAUCUAUAUGUGUGUGGCCAAGAAGCUCAGUCCAUGUAGGGUAUCUUAGCACAGUUUGUGUCAGUCAGGUCAGCUAGUGGGAGGGCAGAGAGGGCAGC